AUUGAACGCUGGCGGCAGGCCUAACACAUGCAAGUCGAGCGAGCGGCGGACGGGUGAGUAAUGUAUGGGGACUGCCCGAUAGAGGGGGAUAACUACUGGAAACGGUAGCUAAUACCGCAUACUAUCGGAUAACCCAUAUGGGAUUAGCUCGUAGGUGAGGUAAUGGCUCACCUAGGCGACGAUCCCUAGCUGGUCUGAGAGGAUGAUCAGCAAAACUGGGACUGAGACACGGCCCAGAAGCCUACGGAGGCAGCAGUGGGGAAUAUUGCACAAUGGGCGCAAGCCGGAUGCAGCCAUGCCGCGUGUAUGAUGAAGGCCUGCGGGUUGAAAAGUACUUUUGGCAGAGAAGCGGUAUCUGCAGAAUAAGCACCGGCUAACUACGUGCCAGCCGCCGCGGUAAUAC
rnacentral:rRNA from 1 species